AUUGAACGCUGGCGGCAGGCUUAACACAUGCAAGUCGAGCGGGUGAGGUUGCUUCGGUAACUGAGCUAGCGGCGGACGGGUGAGCAAUGCUUAGGAAUCUGCCUAUUAGUGGGGGACAACAUUCCGAAAGGGAUGCUAAUACCGCAUACGCCCUACGGGGGAAAGCAGGGGAUCUUCGGACCUUGCGCUAAUAGAUGAGCCUAAGUCGGAUUAGCUAGUUGGUGGGGUAAAGGCCUACCAAGGCGACGAUCUGUAGCGGGUCUGAGAGGAUGAUCCGCCACACUGGGACUGAGACACGGCCCAGACUCCUACGGGAGGCAGCAGUGGGGAAUAUUGGACAAUGGGCGGAAGCCUGAUCCAGCCGUGCCGCGUGUGUGAAGAAGGCCUUUUGGUUGUAAAGCACUUUAAGCGAGGAGGAGGCUACUAGUAUUGAUACUACUGGAUAGUGGACGUUACUCGCAGAAUAAGCACCGGCUAGCUCUGUGCCAGCCGCCGCCGUAACAC
rnacentral:rRNA from 1 species